CAACCUGCCGCUUACUCGGGGAUAGCCUUUCGAAAGAAAGAUUAAUACCCGAUGGUAUAAAGAGUUCGCAAGUUCUCUUUAUUAAAGAAUUUCGGUAAGCGAUGGGGAUGCGUUCCAUUAGAUUGUUGGCGGGGUAACGGCCCACCAAGUCUACGAUGGAUAGGGGUUCUGAGAGGAAGGUCCCCCACAUUGGAACUGAGACACGGUCCAAACUCCUACGGGAGGCAGCAGUGAGGAAUAUUGGUCAAUAGACGAGAGUCUGAACCAGCCAAGUAGCGUGAAGGAUGACUGCCCUAUGGGUUGUAAACUUCUUUUAUAAGGGAAUAAAGUGAGGGACGUGUCCCUUUUCGUAUGUACCUUAUGAAUAAGGAUCGGCUAACUCCGUGCCAGCAGCCGCGGUAAUACGGAGGAUCCGAGCGUUAUCCGGAUUUAUUGGGUUUAAAGGGAGCGUAGGUUGACAUAUAAGUCAGCUGUGAAAGUUUACGGCUCAACCGUGAAAUUGCAGUUGAUACUGUAUGUCUUGAGUGUACAAGAGGUGGGCGGAAUUCGUGGUGUAGCGGUGAAAUGCUUAGAUAUCACGAAGAACUCCGAUUG
rnacentral:rRNA from 1 species